UUAAUCAUUAUUUGGCGCGCCGCUUUGAGCUACAUUGCCAAGCACUUGCUGUCGCUUUCUCAAAUCCAGGCUUUCGAACGCGAAUGAACUCACACGCGUGGGCAAGUAGACAGCGACAUAGGGCAACUGGUGACGAUCGACGAGAAGGAUUCAGAAUAAAUAUUCUGCAGCAAACCGGUGUAACACGUUCCGAGGUCAUCCAAGGACAGUGGAUCCUCAUCAAAAAAGGGCCACAGAGAGCACCGAAGAGCAAUAGCUUCACCAUGGCAUCUAUGGAGUUCAGCAAGACAGGCUACAGGUUCAAUGUACCUUCAAGCAAGUCCAGUUUAUCUAAACCUGUUGGGAAGUGAAAAUGAAUGUGAAUGUUGGAAUUUAUUCGGCUAAAUUAAAAAUAAUUAAGAUUGAA